rnacentral:rRNA from 1 species
GACGAACGCUGGCGGCGUGCUUAACACAUGCAAGUCGAACGGAAAGGCCCUGCUUUUGUGGGGUGCUCGAGUGGCGAACGGGUGAGUAACACGUGAGUAACCUGCCCUUGACUUUGGGAUAACUUCAGGAAACUGGGGCUAAUACCGGAUAGGAGAUCCUGCUGCAUGGGGGGGGUUGGAGAGUGUCGGCGGUUGGGGAUGGACUCGCGGCUUAUCAGCUUGUUGGUGGGGUAGUGGCUUACAAAGCCUUUGACGGGUAGCCGGCCUGAGAGGGUGACCGGCCCCCUUGGGCCUGAGGUACGGCCCAGACUCCUACGGGAGGCAGCAGUGGGGAAUAUUGCACAAUGGGCGGAAGCCUGAUGCAGCAACGCCGCGUGCGGGAUGACGGCCUUCGGGUUGUAAACCGCUUUCGCCUGUGCCGAAGCGUGAGUGACGGUAAUGGGUAAAGAAGCACCGGCUAACUACGUG